rnacentral:rRNA from 1 species
UUUUACCUACGGGACGCAGCAGUGGGGAAUAUUGCACAAUGGGGGAAACCCUGAUGCAGCGACGCCGCGUGAGUGAGGAAGUAUUUCGGUAUGUAAGGCUCUAUCAGCAGGGAAGAAAAUGACGGUACCUGACUAAGAAGCCCCGGCUAACUACGUGCCAGCAGCCGCGGUAAUACGUAGGGGGCAAGCGUUAUCCGGAUUUACUGGGUGUAAAGGGAGCGUAGACGGCUAAUCAAGUCAGAAGUGAAAACCCAGGGCUCAACCUUGGGAGUGCUUUUGAAACUGAGUAGCUAGAGUGCAGGAGG